rnacentral:rRNA from 1 species
GUCGAGAAUCUUUCACAAUGGGGGCAACCCUGAUGGAGCGACGCCGCGUGGAGGAUAAGGUCUUCGGAUUGUAAACUCCUGUCAUGCGUGAACAAGGUUGCUUGGUUAAUACCUGGGCAAAUUGAUGGUAACGCAAGAGGAAGAGACGGCUAACUCUGUGCCAGCAGCCGCGGUAAUACAGAGGUCUCAAGCGUUGUUCGGAAUUACUGGGCGUAAAGGGUGCGUAGGUGGCGUGGUAAGUCAGAUGGGAAAGCCCGGGGCUCAACCUCGGAACUGCAUGCGGUACUGCCAUGCUAGAGUACUGAAGAGGUGACUAGAAUUCUCGGUGUAGCAGUGAAAUGCGUAGAUAUCGAGAGGAAUACCAAAGGCGUAGGCAGGUCACUGGACAGUUACUGACACUGAGGCACGAAGGCCAGGGGAGCGAACGGGAUUAGAUACCCUGGUAGUCC